GACGAACGCUGGCGGCGUGCUUAACACAUGCAAGUCGAACGAUGAAGCCGGAGCUUGCUCUGGUGAAUUAGUGGCGAACGGGUGAGUAACACGUGAGUAACCUGCCCUUGACUCUGGGAUAACUGCUAGAAAUGGUAGCUAAUACCGGAUACGACCCUCGGAGGCAUCUCCAGGGGGUGGAAAGAAUUUCGGUCAAGGAUGGACUCGCGGCCUAUCAGCUAGUUGGUGAGGUAACGGCUCACCAAGGCGACGACGGGUAGCCGGCCUGAGAGGGUGCCCGGCCACACUGGGACUGAGACACGGCCCAGACUCCUACGGGAGGCAGCAGUGGGGAAUAUUGCACAAUGGGCGCAAGCCUGAUGCAGCAACGCCGCGUGAGGGAUGACGGCCUUCGGGUUGUAAACCUCUUUUAGCAGGGAAGAAGCGAAAGUGACGGUACCUGCAGAAAAAGCACCGGCUAACUACGUGCCAGCCGCCGCGGUAA
rnacentral:rRNA from 1 species